CCUUCCCCUUUCCUUCUCUACCUCCCCACCUGAACGUAACUAUACUUUACAGCCAUAGUCCUCUCACCCUGAUUCUUUCCCACCUCAGCGUACCCCUAAUCCCAGCUCUCUUCUCCCACUCCCCAGACCCUUAAGUCAUCCCCUGAAAUUUCUACCUUCCUAUACCCUGCCUAACAUCUCCAGCCCCCCCAGACACAAACCCCCACCUCUCUACUUCACACCUCCAUCCAUAUCUUUCCCCAUCCCCUGACCUAUAUAUCAGGUCUACUCCCACCUCUGCCUUCUGCCAGGUCCCAGCAGCCUGACCUGUUCCUUAAGAGAGAUCAUUGGCUGACAUCGGUCCACAAAGGAAAAGGGAGCAGAGACAACUGACAGAGAUGUUUGGAAGCCCUAUCCAGAUGUAGAUCUCCUCUAGCACCAUGCCUGCCUGCCUGCCACCAUGCUUCUUGCUAUGAGGAUAAUAAACUAAACCUCUGAACUGCACCCAAAACUGUCUUUUUACUAUAGAAGUAUUUGGGAAGAGAAAAUCAAAUGUAAAGGGUAAGAUCUUUUUUAUGUCUCUAUAAAGAAAUUACUAUGCUUAAAAAUGUGAUAAUAUUUUCUUUAAAAUUUUGGCAUUAUUAUUAUUGUACAUACAUGUGUGCAUAUGUGUGUUCAUGUAGGAGCCAUUCUACUGACUCUUGAUUAUAUUUUCUAGAAGAAAAUUCUAUUAUCAACCUAAACAAUGACAUAACAGCAGUUGUUUUAAUAGCUUGCAUGUUUUCUGUGAGCCAGUAAUUGGAUGAGGGUUCAGCUGGACAUUUCCUGUCAGUUCUAGGAUUUUCCUUGAGUUCUAGUGAAUAAGAAAACAUGACUGAAAAAAAAUAUUAAGGCUUAACUUAGUUUGAUAACUGAAUUUAUGAUAAGUGCUAUGCAUAUGAAGUUCAAAUAAUUUAUAACAAAUUAUAAAGGUAAAACUAGCUCUAUUUCAAAGUAAGUUAUUGUGUAAAACCAGAAAAACCUAGGAGUCAGGAGGACCUUAUUUUUAGCCUAACCAUAGGAUGUCUAGACCACAACCCUAGGGUCAACCCUGUCAGCAAUUGUGUCUCGACAGCAAUCUAAAGAGGAGACUGGUCUCAGAGCUCAUUUCCCAAGUAUUUCCUGCUCCCCUUAUUGUGUAACUGUUAUCUUAAAACAUUAACCAGAUGCUCAUAUUGCUUCUGUCAUAUUGAAUAACUGCUGCUUGCUCAUAAAGCAACAAACAAACAAACAGUAAAAUCAUAAUAUUUCAUAUAACAGAAAAUUCAUAUGGUUGAGCCAAUUGUGGUUUUUGUGUCUUAAAAAAAAUGAAACCCAGCCUGUCUUCCCUUUUGGCAGCAGCUCUCAUAUUGGCAAGAUGAAACAGCUGUUGCAAUGUUGUUAUAAAAUUGUUUUUUAUCUUUUUUUCUUUUUUAUUAGAUAUCUUUUAUUUACGUUUUAUUUUAUUUUUUUAAUUAACUUGAUUAUUUCUUAUUUACAAAUCAAAUAUUGUUCUUUUUCCCAGUUUCAGGGCAAACAUCCCCCUAAUCGCCCCCCUCCCCUUCUUUAUGGGUGUUCCUUUCCCCACCCUCCCCCCAUUGCUGCCCUCCCCCCAACAAUCAUGUUCACUGGGGGCUCAAUCUUAGCAGGACCAAGGGCUUCCCCUUCCACUGGUGAUCUUACUAGGCUAUUCAUUGCUACCUAUGAGGUCAGAGUCCAGGGUCAGUCCAUGUAUAGUCUUUAGGUGGUGGCUUAGUCCCUGGAAGCUCUGGUUGCUUGGCAUUGUUGUUCAUAAGGGGUCACGAGCCCCUUCAAGCUCUUCCAGUCCUUUUUCUGAUUCCUUCAACGGGGGUCCUGUUCUCAGUUCAGUGGUUUGCUGCUGGCAUUCGCCUCUGUAUUUGCUGUAUUCUGGCUGUGUCUCUCAGGAGAGAUCUACGUCCGGCUCCUGUCAGCCUGCACUUCUUUGGUUCAUCCAUCUUGUCUAAUUGGGUGGCUGUAUAUGUAUGGGCCACAUGUGGGGCAGGCUCUCAAUGGGUGUUCCUUCUGUCUCUGUUUUAAUCUUUGCCUCUCUAUUCCCUGCCAAGGAUAUUCUUGUUCCCCCUUUUAAAGAAGGAGUGAAGCAUUCACAUUUUGAUCAUCCGUCUUGAGUUUCAUUUGUUCUAGGCAUCUAGGGUAAUUCAAGCAUUUGGGCUAAUAGCCACUUAUCAAUGAGUGCAUACCAUAUGAGUUUUUCUGUGAUUGGGUUACCUCACUCAGGAUGAUAUUUUCCAGUUCCAACCAUUUGUCUAUGAAUUUCAUAAAGUAAUUGUUUUUGAUAGCUGAGUAAAUUCCAUUGUGUAGAUGUACCACAUUUUCUGUAUCCAUUCUUCUGUUGAAGAGCAUCUGGGUUCUUUUCAGCUUCUGGCUAUUAUAAAUAAGGCUGCUAUGAACAUAGUGGAGCACAUGUCUUUUUAUAUAUUGGGGCAUCUUGUGGGUAUAUGCCCAAGAGAGGUAUAGCUGGAUCCUCAGGUAAUUCAAUGUCCAAUUUUCUGAGAAAACUCCAGACUGAUUUCCAGAAUGGUUUUACCAGUCUGCAAUCCCACCAACAAUGGAGGAGUGUUCCUCUUUCUCCACAUCCUUUCCAGCAUUUGUUGUCACCUGAGUUUUUGAUCUUAGCCAUUCUCACUGGUGUUAGGUGAAAUCUCAGGGUUGUUUUGAUUUGCAUUUCCCUUAUGACUAAAGAUGUUGAACAUUUCUUUAGGUGUUUCUCAGUCAUUUAACAUUCCUCAGCUGUGAGUUCUUUGUUUAGCUCUGAACCCCAUUUUUUAAUAGGGUUAUUUGUCCCCCUGCGGUCUAACUUCUUGAGUUCUUUGUAUAUUUUGGAUAUAAGGCCUCUAUCUGUUGUAGGAUUGGUAAAGAUCUUUUCCCAGUCUGUUGGUUGCCGUUUUGUCCUAACCACAGUGUCCUUUGCCUUACAGAAGCUUUGCAGUUUUAUGAGAUCCCAUUUGUCGAUUCUUGAUCUUAGAGCACAAGCCAUUGGUGUUUUGUUCAGGAAAUUUUUUCCAGUGCCCAUGUGUUCGAGAUGCUGCCCUAGUUUUUCUUCUAUUAGUUUGAGUGUAUCUGGUUUGAUGUGGAGGUCCUUGAUCCACUUGGACUUAAGCUUUAUACAGGGUGAUAGGAAUGGAUCGAUUUGCAUUCUUCUACAUGUUGACCUCCAGUUGAACCAGCACCAUUUGCUGAAAAUGCUAUCUUUUUUCCAUUGAAUGGUUUUGGCUCCUUUGUCAAAAAUCAAGUGCCCAUAGGUGUGUGGGUUCAUUUCUGGGUCUUCAUUCCUGUUCCAUUGGUCUAUCUGUCUGUCUCUGUACCAACACCAUGCAGUUUUUAUCACUAUUUCUCUGUAAUAUUGCUUGAGUUUAGGGAUAGUGAUUCCCCCUAAAUUCCUUUUAUUGUUGAGAAUAGUUUUAACUAUCCUGGGUUUUUGUUAUUCCAGAUGAAUUUGCAAAUUGUUCUGUCUAACUCUUUGAAGAAUUGGAUUGGUAUUUUGAUGGGGAUUGCAUUGAAUCUGUAGAUUCCUUUUGGUAAAAUGGCCAUUUUUACUAUAUUAAUCCUGCCAAUCCAUGAGCAUGGGAGAUCUUUCCAUCUUCUGAUGUCCUCUUCAAUUUCUUUCUUCAGAGGCUUGAAGUUCUUAUUGUACAGAUCUUUUACUUGCUUGGUUAAAGUCACACCGAGGUACUUUACAUUGUUUGGGUCUAUUAUGAAGGGUGUCAUUUCCCUAAUUUCUUUCUCGGCUUGUUUCUCUUUUGGGUAGAGGAAGGCUACUGAUUUAUUUGAGUUAAUUUUAUACACAGUCACUUUGCUGAAGUUGUUUAUCAGCUUUAGUAGUUCUCUGGUGUAACUUUUGGGAUCACUUAAAUAUACAAUCAUGUCAUCUGCAAAUAGUGAUAUUUUGACUUCUUCUUUUCUAAUCUCUAUUCCCUUGAUCCCUUUUAUUGUCUGAUUGCUCUGGCUAGAACUUCAAGAACUAUAUUGAAAAAGUAGGGAGAGAGUGGGCAGCCUUGUCUAGUCCCUGAUUUUAGUGGGAUUGCUUCAAGUUUCUCUCCAUUUAGUUUAACGUUAUCAAGUGGUUUGCUGUAUAUAGCUUUUACUAUGUUUAGGUAUGGGCCUUGAAUUCCUAUUCUUUCCAGGUCUUUUAUCAUGAAGGGGUGUUGAAUUUUGUCAAAUGCUUUCUCAGCGUCUAAUGAAAUGAUCAUGUGAUUUUGUUCUCUCAGUUUGUUUACAUAAUGGAUCACGUUGAUGGUUUUCCGUAUAUUAAACCAUCCCUGCAUGCCUGGGAUGAAGCCUACUUGAUCAUGGUGGAUGAUUGUUUUGAUGUGCUCUUGAAUUCGGUUUGCCAGAAUUUUAUUGAGUAUUUUUGCGUCGAUAUUCAUAAGGGAAAUUGGUCUGAAGUUCUCUUUCUUUGUUGGGUCUUUGUUUGGUUUAGGCAGAAGAGGAAUUGUGGCUUCAUAGAAGGAAUUUGGUAGUGCUCCAUCUGUUUCAAUUUUGUGGAAUAGUUUGGAUAGUAUUGGUAUGAGGUCUUCUAUGAAGGUCUGAUAGAAUUCUACGCUAAACAUGUCUGGACCUGGGCUCUUUUUGGUUGGGAGACCUUUAAUGACUGCUUCUAUUUCUUUAGGAGUUAUGGGGUUGUUUAACUGGUUUAUCUGUUCCUGAUUUAACUUCGGUACCUGGUAUCUGUCUAGGAAAUUGUCCAUUUCCUGCAGAUUUUCACGUUUUGUUGAAUAUAGGCUUUUAUAGUAAGAUCUGAUGAUUUUUUGAAUUUCCUCUGAAUCUGUAGUUAUGUCUCCCUUUUCAUUUCUGAUUUUGUUAAUUUGGACACACUCUCUGUGUCCUCUCAUUAGUCAGGCUAAGGGUUUAUCUAUCUUGUUUAUUUUCUCAAAGAACCAACUUUUGGUUCUGUUGAUUCUUUCUAUGGUCCUUUUUGUUUCUACUUGGCUGAUUUCAGCUCUGAGUUUGAUUAUUUCCUGUCUUCUCCUCCUCCUGGGUGUAUUUGCUUCUUUUUGUUCUAGAGCUUUUAGGUGUGCUGUCAAGCUGCUGACAUAUGCUCUCUCCUGUUUCUUUCUGCAGGCCCUCAGAGCUAUGAGCUUUCCUCUUAGCACAGCUUUCAUUGUGUCCCAGAAGUUUGGGUAUGUUGUACCUUCAUUUUCAUUAAAUUCUAAGAAGUCUUUAAUUUCUUUCUUUAUUUCUUCCUUGACCAGGUUAUUGUUGAGUAGAGUAUUAUUCAACUUCCACGUAUAUGUGGGCAUUCUUCCCUUAUUGUUAUUGAAGACCAGCUUUAGGCCGUGGUGGUCUGAGAGCACGCAUGGAAUUAUUUCUAUCAUUCUGUACCUGUUGAGGCCCGUUUUUUGACCAAUUAUAUGGUCAAUUUUGUAGAAAGUACCAUGAGGAGCUGAGAAGAAUGUAUAUCCUUUUGCUUUAGGAUAGAAUGUUCUAUAAAUAUCUGUUAAGUCCAUUUGCUUCAUGACUUCUCUCAGUCUGUCUACAUCUCUGUUUAAUUUCUGUUUCCAUGAUCUGUCCAUUGAUGAGAGUGGGGUGUUGAAAUGUCUUACUAUUAUUGUGUGAGGUGCAAUGUGUGUUUUGAGCUUUAGUAAGGUUUCUUUUACGUAUGUAGGUGCCCUUUUAUUUGGGGGCAUAGAUAUUUAGAAUUGAGAGUUCAUCUUGGUGGAUUUUUCCUUUGAUGAACAUGAAGUGUCCUUCCUUAUCUUUCUUGAUGGCUUUUAGUUGAAAAUUGAUUUUAUUUGAUAUUAGAAUGGCUACUCCACCUUGCUUCUUCUGACCAUUUGCUUGGAAAGUUGUUUUCCAGCCUUUCACUCUGAGGUAGUGUCUGUCUUUUUCUCUAAGGUUUGUUUCCUUUAGGCAGCAGAAUGCAGGGUCCUCAUUAUGUAUGAAGUUUUUAAUCUAUGCCUUUUUAUUGGGGAGUUGAGACCAUUGAUGUUGAGAGAUAUUAAGGAAUAAUGAUUAUUGCUUCCUGUUAUAUUCAUAUUUGGAUGUGAGGUUAUGUUUGUGUGCUUUUCUUCUAUUUGUAUUGUUGUCAGGACGAUUAGUUUCUUGCUUCUUCUAGGGUGUAGCUUGCCUCCUUAUGUUGGGCUUUACCAUUUAUUAUCCUUUGUAGUGCUGGAUUUGUAGAAAGAUAUUGUGUAAAUUUGGUCUUGUCAUGGAAUAUCUUGGUUUCUCUAUCUAUGUUGAGAGUUUUUCAGGAUACAAUAUCCUGGGCUGGCAUUUGUGUUCUCUUAGGUUCUGUAUGACAUCUGUACAGUAUUUUCUGGCUUUCAUAGUCUCUGGGGAAAAGUCUGGUGUGAUUCUGAUAGGUCUGCCUUUAUAUGUCACUUGGCCUUUUUCCCUUACUGCUUUUAAUAUUCUUUCUUUAUUUUGUGCAUUUGGUGUUUUGACUAUUAUGUGUCAGGAGGUGUUUCUUUUCUGGUCCAAUCUAUUUGGAGUUCUGUAGGCUUCUUGUAUGCCUAUGGGUAUCUCUUUUUUUAGGUUAGGGAAGUUUUCUUCUAUUAUUUUGUUGAAGAUAUUUACUGGUCCUUUGAGCUGGGAGUCUUCACUCUCUUCUAUACCUAUUAUCCUUAGGUUUGAUCUUCUCAUUGAGUCCUGGAUUUCCUGUAUGUUUUGGACCAGUAGCUUUUUCUGCUUUAUGUUAUCUUUGACAGUUGAGUCGAUGAUUUCUAUGGAAUCUUCUGCUCCUGAGAUUCUCUCUUCUCUCUCUUGUAUUCUGUUGGUGAUGCUUUUAUCUAUGUCUCCUUGUGUCUUCCUUUGGUUUUCUAGAUCCAGGGUUGUUUCCAUGUGUUCUUUGUUGAUUGCUUCUAUUUCCAUUUUUAAUUCCUUCAAUUGUUUGAUUGUGUUUUCCUGGAAUUCUUACACGGAUUUUUGUGAUUCCUCUCUGUAGGCUUCUACUUGUUUAUUUAUGUUUUCCUGUGUUUCUCUAAGGGAAUUCUUCACGUCUUUCUUGAAGUCCUCCAGCAUCAUGAUCAGAUAUGAUUUUGAAACUAGAUCUUGGUUUUCUGGCGUGUUUGGAUAUUCAGUGUUUGCUUUGGUGGGAGAAUUGGGCUCUGAUGAUGCCAUGUAGUCCUGGUUUCUGUUGCUUGGGUUCCUGCUAGGUAAGCAUGUUGAACUUACACAGAGAGAUCAACCUGGAUGGUUGCUCCAGUGCUUCUUCUUCCUACUGUCCUAGUACCAUUCCAUACCCAAUCCAAUGAGAUUUUUUGACCUGGGACUUCUUAGCCAAACCCUCUUCAAAUUCCUGACUGACAGAAGCCACACUAGGUACUAUUGAAAUGGCAACUGUUAGCAUGUCUUCAAGUACAACAAUGGUGACUACAGAAUUAUUUCUCUAUGACAUUUUCAUACCUCAUCUCUGGAAAAAAUUCUCUUAUAAUAUUUAAUUUAUGCUUCAUAUUCACCAUUUGUGAAAUGUUCUGAUAAAUUACUAAUGGAAUCAUGUUAAAUUUCAAAACAACUUUAUUGGCAUGAUUUGAAAGCUAUGGAUCAUAGGUUAGGGAUGCUGUUCAGUAGCUAAAUUAGUUGCCAGGAAAGCAGAUCCUGGAAGGUCAGAUUCCCAGAACCCACAAAAAUGCUGGGCAGACUUGGUAAUCCACCUGGAAAUCCAGCCUUAUAAGGGAAGAGGAGACAAGAUUACUAGAGCAAGCUAACUAACAAUUGCUGUAUAAGUGAGCCCUGGGUUUGACUGAGAGGUUCCUCCUUUAAAAAAAUGGUAGAGCAGGGUAUGAUGGUACAUGCCUUUAAUCCCAAUACUGGAGAGGCAGAGGCAGGUGGAUCUCUCUGAAUUCAAGUCCAGAUUGGUCAUUUACUAUGAGUUCAGGACUGCAUACUGAGACCCUUUCUUAAUAUGGAAAAAGAAAAUAAUAAUAAUAAUAAUAAUAAUAAUAAUAAUGAUGAUGAUGAUGAUGAUGAUGAUGAUAAAGGAAGAGCAACCAAGAAAGAUUUCUGACAUUAGCAUCCAUAUGCAUACAAACAUACACAAACAUUCUGCUGUAUGCUAAGACUUUUCCUGUGCAAACACACUACACAUGUCUACUUACCUAAGAUAAGGAGUCCACAAUAGACCAAAGUCUAUAUACUUACUACCACAGUCCAACUUAAACCAAUGAGUUUAUUGGGGUUGCUUAUAGGAAUAUGGAUGAGGGGUUACUUACAGGAACAGACAUGACUCAAAGAUAGCUUCAUUACCAAAGUCUACUUCAGGUCACAGAAUCUGGGAACCUGGAAAGCCUACAAGCAGGUCAACAGGCUGGAAAAUGUCCUUUCCAAGUGACUCAGUUGAUCUAAAAUUUACCCAGGCAGCUGGGCUAGUUUCUUCAUUUUCCAGGCAGCUGCUCUGAUCUCAGAUUCUUCUCUGAAGCUUAGCUUGUCUGAGAAUGACCCCAGCAGUCUUCACUUCCUACUCUGGGAGCAAUUAGCCCUCUGAAUCUGGAGUUUCAGGUACUUACUGAAGGUGUUUUGACUUGUUCAUCUUCUGUUUCAAGGAGUCCUUGGGGGAUAGGAUGUUUCAACCUUUGAAGAAACUGUUUUGCAGCACAAAUCAGCACACAUGUAUGCAUAACACAGACACAUGCACAUGCACACACACAUCAACACAAAAAAGAAGAAAAGGGAAAAUAAUUUUAUAGUAUUAUGUUGUAUAUUUGCAAAGCAGUCUUAACUUCUCAAAACUCCUUUGUAAACUAUAUUUAAUCUAAUCCUUUCAAUGGAACAGUGGGAUAAGCAUGCUGAGCGUUAAUGAACAAGAAAUUAAAAGUCCAAAAGAAUACCAGGCAGAACCAGAUGCUUCAAUAACAAACUGUAGGAAUUGGAAAGAUCUUCACUGGCAAUUCCAUUUGAAAUAAUGAUAAAGAGACAAAGGCAUGGGGAUUUUAAAUGCCCUGUUCAUGUUCCAAUAUAUAAUAGAAAGUUGAAAUUAAACCCAAAAUCCUCUGGUCUUGGAUUGCUUCCUUAAAAUCUCACUCAAUAUUGCUUUAGAUUAAUGCUCUGAUUAUGUCCAAAUUUAUCUUACUCUAAGAUAUGUUAAGGCAUGAGGAGUUUGACAGAAGCCUGCUGUUCUUAUACUAAUAACAUUUUCCUUUCUUCUUCCUUGUUUGCUAUCUUUAAAACUUCAUCGGUGUCUAGAGUAGUUCACAAAUGUGUUUUAUUGCAGCGUUAACUCCAACUCAAGUGAUGAUAAUUAUGUUCCAAAGUUUAGAAAAUUAUGCACAAAUUAUCAAUUAAGCAAAUGUUGCAACAGUUAUAUGCCUCAUCAAGAGAAAUUAUGCAAACACUGGGAGAAUGACAAUUUUACACAAGAUGUUUAUAUUUAUUACAUUCCCUAAACUGUUGUGGAUAACUUACAAUAACUUUAUCAAAAUAUUACUCCUUUUAUAGCACAGAUGAAAUUUUAUAAUCAGAGAUCCUUCUCAAAUGUUAUAAAUAUGACACCCCCACAUCAAUCUGAGCUGUAGAUAUGGAGUAUGCAAAGUUUCAAAUUCAACAUGACUUACUCUGCACACAUUACAUUUUCCCCAGAUCUGUUUUCCCUUCAAUGCUUAUUAUGCUGGCUAGCACUAUCAGAUGCCCACUAUCUUUGGAUCAGUUAGACACUUGGGAUCAGUUCUGAGGUUUUCUUCUUUGAAUACCACUCCACUACCAUAAGCAUAUGUCAUCCUACUGAGGUUUGGUCUGUUGUGAUGUAUUGCAAUGCUAAAUACUGCCUCCUAAGGCUUGGUUGCCCCCAAGGGAUGAGAGAAUCUGCAUAUACGCAAACUAAUGCUAUGUGAUCUUGUUACUUAAUUUAAAACUAAUGGAUGAAUAAAGAUGCUGACAUUCUAUCACUGGGCAGAAGAAAGAUAGGUAGAGUUUCGGUUCCUGAACUUGGGUUUUGAGGAAGACAGAGAGGAGAGAAGGUGGAGAGAGAUGAAGAUGAUAUGAGUAGGUGAGUUACAAUAGCAUAGAUGAAACAUGGCAAGUUAUAACUUGGGGUUGUUGAUGGGGAAGUAGAUUCUAAUAGCUUAGAGGGUCGAUUUUCACAGAGCUGUAGUACAUUAAAGGCUUAUUAUAAGUAUAAAGGUUUUAUGUCUUUUAUCUGGGAACAGAAUGAUUAAACAUAGGGUAGAAAACUCUGUCUGAGAUUAAAUCCUUACUCUAACAUAACACUGUCCCACUGACUGGGAUUUUGUGAUCGUGAAGUUUGUCCUUUCUAUUUCCAUUUAACUUACAUUUCCAAUUCACAUAAUAGGAAAGUGCAACGAUUGCUUUGAGAGGCUGGAUAUUAGUGUUCAAGGCACAUUCCUCUUGAAUGUGUUCUCGGGUCUUUAUUCCAGUUAACUGGGCUUUUAUGAAUACCUAUAUUGUAUGCUUGAUAAUUUUCUAGGUUCUAGAGAAUACAAAGAUAAUUUUGAAACAAUGUUGAGGCCCUGAAAUGGGUUAGAUAUUGAGAUAAAUAAUUUUAAUAUAUACAAAAGCAAAAUAGAAACUUACCUGCACUUUGUCAUUAACAAGUUCAUUUAUAAAUGGGGGACUUAGAAACAUUUUCUUUCCUUUUUAUUUUUUGAGGCUCCAGUGAUUAAACUUUGGGUUUCAUGCAUGCUAAGCAAAUACUCUAUCACAAAUAAAGAUAUUCUAGAAAAAAAGGAAAAGGAAAAAGACAAGUUUAGUUAAUUCAAGCAAUGUAAAAAAAUUGUGUAAUGCUACAUUUUUAUCUUUUUCUUUUUUAUUAAUUUGAGUAUUUCUUAUUUACAUUUCGAAUG